GACGAACGCUGGCGGUGCGCCUUAUGCAUGCAAGUUGAGCGAAGCUUUUCAGUAGUUUACUACAGAAAAUGACUGAGCGGCGAACGGGUGAGUAACGCGUGAGCAAUCUACCUUAGUUACAGGGAUAGCCCGAGGAAACUCGGAUUAAUACCUGAUAUUCUUUAUAUUUCGCAUGAAAUUAAAAGGAAAGGUCAGCCGAACUAAGAUGAGCUCGCGUUCUAUCAGCUAGUUGGUGAGGUAAAAGCUCACCAAGGCUACGACGGAUAGCUGGUCUGAGAGGACGAUCAGCCACACUGGGACUGAGACACGGCCCAGACUCCUACGGGAGGCUGCAGCAGGGAAUAUUGCGCAAUGAGCGAAAGCUUGACGCAGCGACACCGCGUGUGGGAUGACGGAUCUAGGUUUGUAAACCACUUUCAGGAGGGAAGAAAAUGACGGUACCUCCACAAGAAGCCCCGGCCAACUACGUG
rnacentral:rRNA from 1 species